UUUCCCUCUUGAACUUGAGUCGUUGUUAAGCAGCGAGCAUUGAUUCCAUAAGGUACGUUUCAGCAUAUUCUGCUUCCAAUUCGUAGAGCCCACUCACACAUGUCAAUGAACCAAGCUAUUUCACUUAUUGAUCUUGAAUUUCUUGAGAUGAAUAUGCUAAAAAUAAAAACCAAUAGGCAAUUGGUUGGUCCAGAGUUGAUUUAAUCUUGCCUUCUUUUAAACAUUUAUGAACAGACAAAAUAGAAUGAAAAUGCCAUGGUGAUGUGUGGUUUUGUACACUUUUGAUAUGUACUUUGUAACUUUUAUAGUACUGCCAUAUUCUCAAUGUUUUCAAUCUGAGUAUUAUAUAGUAAUUUAUAUUCCUUGAAGAAUCAGGUUGGCAUUUAAUUGCUGUAUAUGUUUGUUGUAGAAACUUUCCAUUUAUAAUAGGUAUAGCAUCUUCUACCUCCUGCAGCUUCUCUUCCUUCUGUCUUGCUUUUUUGAAGAGGUUAUCAUUAUAGCUUACUUUCAAUACUGCCAUAUUUUUCUUCUGAAUGAGCAUUCAUAUAGAGAUGUGUAUAAUUACCAUCCAUCACAUACAACAACGGCUUCUAAUAGGUGAGAAAGCUAACAAAAUGAUCUGGAAACACAGAUUUUUAUUGAGACAACCAAGACCAAGCCACACAUAGACAUGCAUAAUACACACUUGCACGAAAGAAUCUGAUCAUGGAAAAUAUCGAAAGUCCUCCUGGUGAUUCUUGUUUAUCCACCACAUACAAACACAGCUUCUAGCAGCGAGGGUAAUCAGCUGGUGGGUGAGGGAGGGUCUCCAGUGGUCCUUGCCCAUUCUUGACGAUAAUCGCCACAGACAAACCCCAUGAUAAAUGUAUCUCCAGAUGGCAGUGCAUAAACCAGACCCCUACACCACAUUCAUAGAGUCUCAUCAAGUUUGUUUCAUGUAACGACUCAGAUGUCUGUGUUAGUAUGUGUGUAUGACGACGAACGUGCUAAUGUCUUUGUAUGUAGUAUUCCUCUUAUGCAGAGAUGUUAUAUUAUAUAAAUACGUCACUUUUUCUGUUA